GCCUACUUCUACCUGGCGGCAGAUAGCCAGCAGGGAAGGAUUUCCAGGGUCUGGUAUCUAUUGUGUCUUGAUGGUGGAAUCCUCCCUGAUGGGGGCUACUGCCCAGCUCCUCCUUACUCUGUGCUCAGUGACGUCUCCUGGAUAGCCUGAUAUCAGCUGUGGGGGAAAUGUUUACAACACAGAAAUCAGCAGAGACUACAGAACAGAGGCUUCAGCCACUUCCUAGCACAAGACUGCAUACGCAUAUACAGGCGGUAUAACCGGGAUCACUGAGGAGCCUGCAGGUUGGGCUGAGUAGAGAAGGCCUGCGCUCCUUUCUCUGACUGGCUCCCCAUCCCUCUUCUCUCCUGCAUUCUGACCUCUGUUAAUAAAAAGACCUCACUUUAUCUUUAAGAGAAUUUCUGAUACACAAAGUGUUCAGGGAUUGAAGUAGACAAAUAAUUUGGGUUAAUGUGCAUAUCCCUGUUGUCACGUGGUCCUUGGUAGAGGGCUUGUGGGGGGUCCACUGUGGCUCCCAAGCCCCCUCCACCCUACCACAAGCUGCUGCGCAGGUGGAGCGUCCCCACUUUUCCCAGAAGGUGAAGCCAGGAUGGAGGAGGAAAGGCUCCUGUAAACAAUGGCUCCCUCUGCCCUUUGAAUGGAUAAUGUCGGUUUCCCUCUUGGAAAUGAAUCAGGCAGCCACGUGGUAUCCUCUGCCAGCCCUCUGCUGCUUUCAGUAUGACAUGCAGGCAGUUGGGGGCUGGAGAGUGAGGGAGGUGAGAUGCACAGCCAGCCAGAUUUGAAGAUGAACCUGGGCGUGGCUCAGCCAGAGGAGAAGGACACCAAGUUCCCAGGAAUUCCUGGCCAUCAGGCUCAGGAGCACUGCUUCUCACUCAGCCAGACACAUGCAAUCACCCACAUCUCAACUCCAAAGCAGAGAAAAUGAAAACCAAAAGAAGCUUUAAACAUGGGGAGGACCCUGUCUCAUUUUUCUGUACCAAAAAUAAAAGCAGCUUGGAGAAAACAUUACCUAGAAUGCAAAGCAUAGCCCCCUCAGCCCUCCACUGAGGCCUCCUUCUCUCCAAAGACUGUCUUAUCUAUCCAAAGACUUGCUCUGCUACUCUUGCAGGUUAGGUUCCUCGAAGCAGAGGCUGAGUUUAAUAGGGGUCAAUCCUGGCGGGGCAGGAUGAGCUGAGGAAGACGCCAAUCUGUGACUCAGGCCCCACACAGCCAUGGUCAGCCAAGGGCCUGGAGCAGGCUCGCCUGGCAGUAUCCACAUUUGGUCCAAGUGGCCAGACUCUCAC
rnacentral:lncRNA from 10 species